CUCUUCGGAGGUGAGUAAAGUGGCGCAUGGGUGAGUAACACGUGGGUAAUCUGCCCUUAGGUUUGGGAUAACCCCGGGAAACCGGAGCUAAUACCGAAUGAGACCACGACGACCUCGGUCGAUGUGGGAAAAGAUGGCCUCUUCUUGAAAGCUAUCGCCAAAGGAUGAGCCCGCGGUUGAUUAGCUUGUUGGUGAGGUAACGGCUCACCAAGGCUCCGAUCAAUAGCUGGUCUGAGAGGAUGAUCAGCCACACUGGAACUGAGACACGGUCCAGACUCCUACGGGAGGCAGCAGUCGGGAAUAUUGGGCAAUGGGCGAAAGCCUGACCCAGCAACGCCGCGUGAAGGAUGAAGGCCCUAGGGUCGUAAACUUCUGUCGAGAGGGAAGAAUGCCUGCGGGUAAAUAAUCCGUAGGUUUGACGGUACCUCCAAAGGAAGCACCGGCUAACUCCGUGCCAGCAGCCGCGGUAAUACGGAGGGUGCAAGCGUUGUUCGGAUUUAUUGGGCGUAAAGCGAGUGUAGGCGGUUUGGCAAGUCGGAUGUGAAAUCCCAGGGCCCAACCCUGGAACUGCAUCCGAUACUGUCAGGCUAGAAUUCCGGAGAGGGUGGCGGAAUUCCCGGUGUAGGGGUGAAAUCCGUAGAUAUCGGGAGGAACACCAGUGGCGAAGGCGGCCACCUGGACGGUAAUUGACGCUGAGACUCGAAAGCGU
rnacentral:rRNA from 1 species